GAUGAACGCUGGCGGCGUGCCUAAUACAUGCAAGUCGAGCGAACGGACGAGAAGCUUGCUUCUCUGAUGUUAGCGGCGGACGGGUGAGUAACACGUGGAUAACCUACCUAUAAGACUGGGAUAACUUCGGGAAACCGGAGCUAAUACCGGAUAAUAUUUUGAACCGCAUGGUUCAAAAGUGAAAGACGGUCUUGCUGUAACUUAUAGAUGGAUCCGCGCUGCAUUAGCUAGUUGGUAAGGUAAUGGCUUACCAAGGCAACGAUGCAUAGCCGACCUGAGAGGGGGGUAGGCCACAUUGGAAGUGAGACACGGACCAUACUCCUGAGGGAGGCAGCAGUAGCGUACCUGCCGCAGUAGGCGAGAGCAUGACGGAGCAAGGCCGCGUGAGUGGUGAAGAUCUUCGGAUCGUAAAACUCUGUUAUGAGGGAAGAACAGAUUUGUAAGGAACUGUGCACAUCUUGACGGUACCUAAUCAGAAAGCCACGGCUAACUACGUG
rnacentral:rRNA from 1 species